rnacentral:piRNA from 1 species
UUUUACGGUUUCAGAGGGUUU